AUUGAACGCUGGCGGCAUGCCUUACACAUGCAAGUCGAACGGCAGCACGGGUGCUUGCACCUGGUGGCGAGUGGCGAACGGGUGAGUAAUACAUCGGAACAUGUCCUGUAGUGGGGGAUAGCCCGGCGAAAGCCGGAUUAAUACCGCAUACGAUCUACGGAUGAAAGCGGGGGACCUUCGGGCCUCGCGCUAUAGGGUUGGCCGAUGGCUGAUUAGCUAGUUGGUGGGGUAAAGGCCUACCGAGGCGACGAUCAGUAGCUGGUCUGAGAGGACGACCAGCCACACUGGGACUGAGACACGGCCCAGACUCCUACGGGAGGCAGCAGUGGGGAAUUUUGGACAAUGGGCGAAAGCCUGAUCCAGCAAUGCCGCGUGUGUGAAGAAGGCCUUCGGGUUGUAAAGCACUUUUGUCCGGAAAGAAAUCCUUGGCUCUAAUACAGUCGGGGGAUGACGGUACCGGAAGAAUAAGCACCGGCUAACUACGUG
rnacentral:rRNA from 1 species